GCCAUCAGCCAGAUCACCCUGCAAUUCACAACUGGUAACCCACUGAAGCUAAGGAGGUGUGAGCCUGGUCAGAACCUGGAUGGGAGACCUCCUGGGAAAAACUAAGGUUGCUGCUGGAA
rnacentral:rRNA from 1 species